rnacentral:rRNA from 1 species
GGGUUUCCCUUCGGGGCAGAGGUGACAGGUGGUGCAUGGUUGUCGUCAGCUCGUGUCGUGAGAUGUUGGGUUAAGUCCCGCAACGAGCGCAACCCUUACGGUUAGUUGAUACGCAAGAUCACUCUAGCCGGACUGCCGUUGACAAAACGGAGGAAGGUGGGGACGACGUCAAAUCAUCAUGCCCCUUAUGACCUGGGCUACACACGUACUACAAUGGCAGUCAUACAGAGGGAAGCAAUGCAGUGAUGUGGAGCAAAUCCCUAAAAGCUGUCCCAGGUCAGAUUGCAGGCUGCAACCCGCCUGCAUGAAGUCGGAAUUGCUAGUAAUCGCGGAUCAGCAUGCCGCGGUGAAUACGUUCCCGGGCCUUGUACACACCGCCCGUCACACCAUGAGAGCCGGUAAUGCCCGAAGUCCGUAGCCUAACCGCAAGGAGGGCGCGGCCGAAGGCAGGACUGGUAAUUAGGGUGAAGUCGUAACAAGGUAGCCGUAUCGGAAGGUGCGGUUGGAUCACCUC